AGCUGGGACUACAGGCACAUCCCACGACGCCUGGAUAAUUUUUGUAUUUUUUAUGAGGUGGAGUUUUACCGUGUUAAACCAGGCUGGUCUUGAACUACUGACCUCAAGUGAUCUCCCCACCUCAGCCUACCAAAGUGCUGAGAUUACAGGCAUGAGCUACCAUGCCUGGCCUGAAAGAAUUUUAAAUGGUGUUAAGUCAUACUUAGGAUAUACCAAAUUAUUCCAAAAAUUCCACCUUUUUUGUUUGGGUUCACUGAUGGACCCUCUUAAAAUCACAUGACAUUAUGGUUGGCAUAUUUGACAGAUUCUGUUUCUGAAUUACUCAUGUCACAGUAUCUGUCAUGUAGCCUGGUACCAGAAAACUAUUCAAAUAUUUAGAAAAAUGAAACAGAUAUAGGUGAUGGGGAGGAAGGCAGCACAUCACACUGCCAUGUGUGUACCUAUGCAACACUCUUGCAUGUUCAUCACAUGUACCCCAAAACCUAAAAUGCAAUUUUAAAAAAAUAAAAUAAAAUAAAGAAAAAUGAAACAGAAGUAAUCUUUUGCCCACUCCAUUCAUACCUUACAUAAGAAAUUUUAGGCUUCUCUAGUAGAGGUUUAGUUUUAAAUUGGAUACCACAAACAUUGAUAACCUCAUUAAAUCAAUGAGUGUGUAAUUGCUUGCACUUUUAAAAGAUUUGAGACUCUGCCUCUUAAUAAUACAUUUUAUACAUUAAUAAGGUUUUCAAAUAAGAAAGUAAUUAGUCUGUACUGCUAAUAGAGAAUAGGAAAUUAAACUAAAAAGAUUUUAAGUUCAUUGUUUAUGUUUUAUAUUUUUGCCCAAAUGAGUUUUUCUCUUUCCGGAAUCCAUAGUUAAUUUCUGGUAUGCUAUCAAAGGAUUCAGAACCUAUUUCAUAACUUCAGUUUGUGUCAGUUUUUAAAUUGUUAUUAAUGUUAAUAAGUCUCCAAUAUCUACUUUCUCAAAAAAGAAAACCUUUUUUUAUUUAUCUAGAGUGCCCUGCUUAGCAAGCUGAAUGGCCAUCAUUUCUCACAGUGCACAAGGAAUAAUUGGUGUGACUUUAUUAAGCCAUUAAACUCAUCAAAAGUUAACUUAGGAUUGUUGAUACUAAACUUCUGAAACAUACUGCCUCCUUUCUGCUCAGUUUAAUGAGAUCAAAGCCUGGAGUUUAGCCACUGUAUUCACCUUUAAAAGCAUAUUAGUUUGAUGUAAAGCAAGACACAGUCAAUCUAAGAGUUUGUUAUUUAAAAUGUAAGGUUUACUUAAGGUAGUAAUAAAUAUAUAAGAAAUGCCUUAAUGGUAAAUUUUAAAAAUAUAAUUGUUUUUAUAAGUUGUUAGCAUCUGAAUCCUUGUUCAAAAAAGAUGUGUUUUUAUUUUUUUAACUUAGGAUUUUAUUUUAAAGGUUAGCAAAGGUUAAGAUUAGACAUACAUAGUUGCUUGUUUUUGAUAAGAGUGCCUAAUAGUGAGAGACAUUCAUUUGUGUUUUUUUGUUUCCUGCCACAUGUGGGAGCCAUUCUCUGAGGCAGGAAAGGCGUGAAAGGCUUGAGAGAGAUCUGUCACAGGCCUUUGCCAGCUCCAAUAUAAUACAUGUGGCAGUGGUAGGCCCAUUUGAAAACUUAACAAAUGUACCAAAAAGAAAACAACCACAAGAGUUAUAUAGUUUAAAAGCAUUCAGACAGAUCUAGGAAUUACAUGGGCAGAUGAAGAGAAGUCUAGUUCAGUAACAAGGAUUCUGAGGAAGAAGGCUGUGAGUGAGUGCCAGUAUACAGGGAGAUUUUAGAUUUUGUUUUUAAUGUUUCUGGAAUAUACAGACAGGGCAGAGAUCCCUGACUCCAAAUUCAUAAUUGAGUAAUUUUCAUGCGAUUUGGUUGGAUUAAAGCAGAAAGCCCUGUAGAUUCCAUUAAUCCCUGCCUCUUGUUUUGUCCCAUGCCUCAGUUCCCUGCAUCCUGAUCUGUCUUUCUUUACUAGGAUUAUGAACACACUGCUUCCUCUCUAAAAAAAAGAAAAAUGCCUGUUACUACUAUUGUUACUAGGGACUGUUUCUGGAGGUAUUGGUAGGGGAAUGUUGCUCUUCUUGCUUGCCUGAUAUUUAGUACGGUCCCUCAGUCCUACCUCCAUUUAGAAAGUGUGAAAAUCUCUAUUAAGAAGGACUUGGUGAGCCACAUUACUAUGGAAUUCAAGGCUAUAGGCCCUGAUUAAAAGUGAACAUUUAGAUCGGGCAUGGUGGCUCACACCUGUAAACUCAACACUUUGGAAGGCCAGAGCAGGAGAAUUGCUUGUGUACAGGAGUUCAAGACCAGCCUGGGCAACACAGUAAAAUCCCAUCCCUACAAAAACAAAAAUUACCCCGACAUGGUAGCACACACCUGUAGUCCCAGCUACUCGGAAGGCUGAGGUGGGACAGUCAUUUCAGCUUGAGAGGUUGAGGCUGCAGAGAGUUGUGAUCACAAUAUUGCAUUCAGCCUAGGAAACAGAGCAAUACCCAGCCUCCAAAACACACACGCACACGCAUGUACUCACACACACACACAUACACACACACAUUUUUAAAAAGGAAACACUAAGGGAGAAUUUUGCAAGAAAAUCCUAGAUUCAAGUCAGUGCCCCACCUCUCCCAAAUGAUUAAUAUUGUCCAAUUAAAUGUUUCAUAUGGAGGGAAUCUGGCCAGUUAUAAACAGAUAUUAUUCAAAAAGAAAAUGACUCAAGUUUGUAAGCUUUUUAAUGUGAGUCAGCUUGCCUUGUUAAGUGUACAGUAAGCUCCCAGUUACCUACACAAGAGAGCAGGACAGUGAUAUGGUGACAGUGUGAGCACCUGCCUCAAAGCCAGGGCUUAUAUUGUAUACUCGGGGUCCUUAAUACCUGGCUUUUCAGAGGUAUUCAGUAACAAACUAUAGAAAUGAUCCCUGAG